rnacentral:rRNA from 1 species
AAAAUGACUCUCGGUAACGGAUAUCUCGGCUCUCGCAUCGAUGAAGAACGCAGCA